rnacentral:rRNA from 1 species
GACGAACGCUGGCGGCGUGCUUAACACAUGCAAGUCGAACGGUAAGGCCCUUCGGGGUACACGAGUGGCGAACGGGUGAGUAACACGUGGGUGAUCUGCCCUGCACUUCGGGAUAAGCCUGGGAAACUGGGUCUAAUACCGGAUAGGACCACUGCCUGCAUGGGUGGUGGUGGAAAGCUUUUGCGGUGUGGGAUGGGCCCGCGGCCUAUCAGCUUGUUGGUGGGGUGAUGGCCUACCAAGGCGACGACGGGUAGCCGGCCUGAGAGGGUGACCGGCCACACUGGGACUGAGAUACGGCCCAGACUCCUACGGGAGGCAGCGGUGGGGAAUAUUGCACAAGGGGCGCAAGCCUGAUGCGGCGACGCCGCGUGAGGGAUGACGGCCUUCGGGUUGUAAACCUCUUUCAGCACCGACGAAGCGCAAGUGACGGUAGGUGCAGAAGAAGGACCGGCCAACUACGUGCCAGCAGCCGCCGUAA